rnacentral:lncRNA from 1 species
CCGGCUCCGCCCGCCCCGCCUCCGCCCUGCCCUCACGGGCUUCUCUCCGCCCCAUUCCCUCUCGGCCACGCCCACCACGGGCCAUGGCCAGGGACCGGCUGCUCAGAUAUUUUCGCCUCUGAGGGUGUAGGCUCCGGGUCUGGCUUCCGGGUCCCUUUCCUGGUGCUGGCGCCUUCCAGCUGUGUGACCGGGCGAGGCCCUGAGCCUCUUGAGGGUUUAGUGUCCUCCUCCGUACCAUGGGCCAACAACAACCCCUUCCCUGAGGAUCUCCGUGAGGUUUGGUUGCUCUGCAGGGUGCCCUGGGCCUGUGCCAGCGCGCUCUGGCAUCCUGGUGACCAACCAGAGCUGGCACUGGUGAGCUCAGCCUCUUAGCCCAUGCAGACUGUGGACAGCCUCACCUGCUGGGACCGCUGAGUGGUCGAAGAGCUGGCUUGGCUGUCUGGGACCUGGGCCCCAGCGUCCCCAUCUGUGCAGGGUGCCGCUGGUGAUACAGGUCCCUGCCAUGACCUGGUGGAGAUAUGGCCCAGUAAGACUUCGUGAGGGGUCUAGGCCACUGCUGUCACGUGGUACGUCCUCUACCCUGGCCCCUAGGUGGGCCUGGCCUCAGCCUUGCUCUAAAGAGGAAUGAAACCCAGCCCACAGCCACUUAGCACAGAAACGCUCAGGAGACGGGACCCUCACCAUUACUCAUCUCCUUACUGUUCCCUGGAUACCCUGGGGUCCUUGCGCCUCCCCAUCCCGUCCCAGCCAGGCAAGAAAAGUCCUUCUGAAGUAAGUCCCUCUGCCCCAGCACGUCCCUUAAGCCGGGCUCUGUAGCACCUGGGCUUUGGAUGCGUUUGCUGUCGACUGUUAGGAGAGAGAUGCUGGGGUUUCGAGGGCCAACUCGGUGGGUGUCAUCUGCAGCUCCAUGAGGACAACACGGAAGGGAACAGAGAGACUGAGCCAGGCUCCCGAGUACUGAGCUGGACUGAGACAAAGGGUGUUGCUUCCCCUUCUGGUGCCGUUUCAGAAUCUGGAGGUCAGGAGGGAAGGCCCAAGAGCUUCUGGAGAGGAACUGAGUGCCCACAGGACUCAGAGCCAGAGUCACAGCUGCUUGGAUCAGUGACACUGGAUGCUCGAAGACAAAGUUCACAAGGAACCAAGAACCUCGAUUGCAGCCCACGUCUUCCCGUGUGAGGACAACGUAUCUGCCAGGACCUGGGGCGCUCAGUGCACCUGAAGCACCCGAGGCACAGCAGCUGGGAAGAAGGAGGCCAGGGGGACGCAAGGACGUGGAGAAAAGGUGAAAGUCUAGAGUGAAAACAAACGGGGUACAGAGAGCUUGUGCUCCGUGGAGUCUGGUUUACUCGGAAGGGUUUAGAAUGGAAUUGUAUUUCCUGCCCUAGUACAUAAACAUAGCACUUGGCUUCUCAAAAGAUGAUAUUUAAAUCGUCAUAAUACUUAAGUGCUGUUUAUCAGGAUGGCCUGGUGUAUUAGUCUGUUCUCACACUGCUAAUAAAGAUAUAACUGAGACUGGGUAAUUUAUAAAGGAAAGAGGUUUAAUUGACUCACAGUUCCACAGGGCUGGGGAGGCCUCAGGAAACUUACAACCAUGGUGGAAGGGGAAGCAAACCUGUCAUUCUUCAUGUGGCGGCGGGAAGGAGAAGUGCCGAGCAAAAGGGGGACAACCCCUUAGAAAACCAUCAGAUCUUGUGAGAACUCACUCACUGUCGCGAGAACAGCAACCUGGGGUAACUGCUGCCAUGAUUCAAUUACCUCCACCUGGGUCCCUCCCAUGACACGUGAGGAUUAUGGGAGCUACAAUUCAAGAUGAGAUUUGGGUGGGGACACAGCCAAACCAUAUCACCCGGUUAGAA